rnacentral:misc_RNA from 1 species
UGAUUCAGGUUUUCCUGGGCCAAAGUGGAGGACUUGACAAAGAGGGAAAUGAAUUACCACGUCUGGUGUACGUUUCCAGAGAAAAGAGACCUGGAUUUAACCACCACAAAAAGGCUGGAGCAAUGAAUGCUUUGGUCAGGGUUUCUGCUGUGCUCACAAAUGCUCCUUAUUUGUUGAAUUUGGAUUGUGACCACUACUUCAAUAACAGUAAGGCUAUUAGGGAAUCAAUGUGUUUCAUGAUGGAUCCUUUGCUUGGAAAGAGAGUGUGCUAUGUCCAGUUCCCACAAAGGUUUGAUGGUAUUGACAGACAUGAUCGAUAUGCCAACCGGAACAUUGUAUUCUUUGAUAUCAACAUGA